rnacentral:lncRNA from 1 species
GUGUGAUAUGAUAAUAUGAAAAGGGCAUGUUUUAAUAAAGAUAUUAAUCAAACAUUGUGUUUAUUCGUUGAAAUCACUGGUUAUACAAGAACUACAUCAUUAGCCCAUAUAGAACUCUAUCUUUCUACUUUUUAGGCUGAAAAACUUGUCAAGCAGCUUGUCACACAAGUUUUUGAAUCAUUGCUUGGCACAGUUAAGCUUUAUAUGCAGCAUGUUUUGAAAGGUGUCCUGCU